rnacentral:lncRNA from 1 species
AAACGAUGAGACGUCUUGAAUUUAGUCAAAAAAACAUCAAGUACAAGGGCAGGCUUUCUCUCUUCCCAAACCACACGCGUCUUUUCCUUUCAUUACCCAAAAUGCACAAAGAAACCAUCCAUCUUUCACUCUCUCUCCAUCUUCCUCAUCUACUCUAUACCCAAAAUCAAAACCACAAUCCACCAUAUCUUACCAUCCGCCUGCACUACAAGGAUUCAUCCUAUUUUCAGCCUUUCCAAUCCGCUACUUCAAUAAAUCAACGAAAAUCAGUUCCCAAUCGGUGAUACAACGAAAUUAGAUUUCAAAUCCAUGUUAAAGACACAAAAAUCGUCCAAAAUCGUGAAGUGAGUUGUCUUUUUCAACUUUUUGAAUUUCAAAUACAUCCCUUUGAUUUGGCCGUUGGUUUCCUUGAAUUUUGGUUUCAAAUUCGGACUUUCAAGUCCGGAUUUGCAUAUAAAUACCUACGGUUUUACCUAUUUCGAAGGGGGGGCGGGGGGGGGGGGGGGGGGGAGAGAAGUUUUUUAGAAGGAGAGACAGAGGGGGAACACUCGAAAAUUGGGGAAUAUUCACACAAAUUCACAAACAAAGUCACAAAAUCAGAAGUUUUGUUUCUUCUUUUCGGUCUAGGUUCGGGCUCCCGGAGUUUGAGUUGGAUAGCUGGAAAAUCUUGGCAUCGAAGCCCCAUCUUGCUGCCCCAUAAAAGUUUCAACGGAAACUCGGUUUUGACCCAAAGUUUGGGUCGAUGGGUAUAGGAUCACAGAGUUCGGGGUCUAAAUUGCUAGGAGCCAAUUUGCUUCCAUAGGAAUUGAUAGUAUCCCAUCCUUUACCUUUCUCAUGACUUUCUUAUUCACGUUUGUUUCAUUAACUUUGUGUCAUUUUGAUAAUUUAUUUUAUAUGUCUUUGAUUGAAACCGAUAUCACUUAACUUUGUUUAGUUUUGUUCGAACUUUAAACCACCUAGAAUUGAUUUUAUUCGGUCAUUUUUUAUUCGUCAUUCAUAAAUAUAAUAACGGUAUAUAGUUCAACCACUUAUUUUUAUAAUUUUGCACCUACGAAUCUACCUUUAUAAUAAAUGGCAAACUCUGCUUUUUAUAAUUACAAUAUGGAAUACAUCUCUGAUUGAACAAAACAACUGGUUAUUAUUUUCGAUUUGCAAAAUAUUAAUUAACGGUUUUGUCACCUUAUCCAGAGUAUUGUUUUCCAAAUGAAUCAACAUAAGUAUUAAAUAGGUUUCAUUUAUUCCAUCCGCCAUGUUUGCAAGUAAAUAAUCCACCAACAUCGAUUUUUUCAUUCAACGCUGUAUAAUUUAAACACCUACUACAGGUCAUAUCUGCUUCUCAACUCUAUUUCAAAUUUUCAG